rnacentral:rRNA from 1 species
AUUGAACGCUGGCGGCAUGCCUUACACAUGCAAGUCGAACGGCAGCACGGGAGCUUGCUCCUGGUGGCGAGUGGCGAACGGGUGAGUAAUACAUCGGAACGUACCCAGUAGUGGGGGAUAACGCACCGAAAGGUGCGCUAAUACCGCAUACGACCUAAGGGUGAAAGCGGGGGACCGUAAGGCCUCGCGCUAUUGGAGCGGCCGAUGUCUGAUUAGCUAGUUGGCGGGGUAAAGGCCCACCAAGGCGACGAUCAGUAGCUGGUCUGAGAGGACGAUCAGCCACACUGGGACUGUGACACGGCCCAGACUCCUACGGGAGGCAGCAGUGGGGAAUUUUGGACAAUGGGGGCAACCCUGAUCCAGCAAUGCCGCGUGUGCGAAGAAGGCCUUCGGGUUGUAAAGCACUUUUGUCAGGGAAGAAAUCUUUUGGGCUAAUACCCCGGAAGGAUGACGGUACCUGAAGAAUAAGCACCGGCUAACUACGUGCCAGCAGCCGCAGUAA